AAGAGAGAUAGUGAGAGAAAGGGGUAGAGAGAACUUAGAGAGAGUAGAAAGGAUGAACCGCCGGAAGACUCACCGAAAACUACCGUCGGGAGUCUAUUCCGGUGAAGAUCAUGAUGCAAGGAAGUGAAGAUCAUGCAGAGAGACUUUCUUAGAAGGGAAAAGAGAAUGUGGGUGGCCGGAGUCCCAUUUUUCAUCAAGAAGUCGAAAAACCCGCAACGAACAACUCUACGCGUGAUCUGUGAAAAAGUUUGGCCGAGAUCUCAACCCGAAGGCGGAGAUCCGAGAGUCGUCCGAGAACGGGACCUAAUUUAAAGAAAUCAGUACUUUUGGACACC